UUUUCUCCCCACUUCCUGCCUGUCAAGGUAUUGGAUAUGGAUAAUACAGGUAGACUUGACAUACUGCUGAAUCAGCACUGUGUGACAUCCGUUCUGCACUCUAGCUUUAACAAUUUGCGUCACCAAGGGUGAAAUGGGAAUGGGUAUGGAAUGAUAUGGGAAGCCAGAGAGGCCAAAAACUCUCACCCACUCCCGUCUGUCCAUUUGGCUGCAGUAAAAAAAACACCUGGACAAACACUCUCUCAGUACAAAUUCUCCUUUUAAUGAUUUCCAGGAUGAUACAGAAUUUAAAUGGAAAUAUAAAAAGUAACAGGCAUCCAUCAAAGUAGAACAGAGGAAUCAAUAGUGCUUGAACUUUAUGCCUUGAACAUCAUAAUGUACGAUUUAUUUUUUACAGUUGACCUAAAUCUCGCUGCAAAGGUUUGGGAAGAACUUUCUAAAGGGCCGUUUAAAAACCCAAGAGUUUGUAAGGACAAAUGUAGGAUUAAAGAUGGCUGGUCUUUACUGGCCUCAUUGAAAGACGUUGGCUCACAGACAGACACAGUCAGCGUAGUUUGGCAUUGGGUCAAUGACUGACGGUGGAUGAAUUAAUAAAGCAUCUUUCUGUGCGGUAAAUACUCUAUAAAAGGUGCAUAAAGAGAGAGGGAUAGGUAAAUGAAA